UAGGGAAUAUUGGUCAAUGGACGCAAGUCUGAACCAGCCAUGCCGCGUGCAGGAUGAAUGUCCUAUGGAUUGUAAACUGCUUUUAUAUGGGAAGAAACCCCUGGAUGCGUCCGGGGCUGACGGUACCAUUUGAAUAAGGAUCGGCUAACUUCGUGCCAGCAGCCGCGGUAAGACGAAGGAUUCAAGCGUUGUCCGGAUUUACUGGGUUUAAAGGGUGCGUAGGCGGAAAGCUAAGUCAGUGGUGAAAGCCCGCAGCUCAACUGCGGAACUGCCAUUGAAACUGGCCUUCUUGAAUACAGUGGAGGUAGAUGGAAUAUAACAUGUAGCGGUGAAAUGCUUAGAUAUGUUAUAGAACACCGAUUGCGAAGGCAGUCUGCUACACUGUCAUUGACGCUGAGGC
rnacentral:rRNA from 1 species